rnacentral:rRNA from 1 species
UNCNGNUUUAUUGGGCGUAAGCGAGCGCAGGCGGUCUUUUAAGUCUAAUGUGAAAGCCUUCGGCUCAACCGAAGAAGUGCAUUGGAAACUGGGAGACUUGAGUGCAGAAGAGGACAGUGGAACUCCAUGUGUAGCGGUGAAAUGCGUAGAUAUAUGGAAGAACACCAGUGGCGAAGGCGGCUGUCUGGUCUGCAACUGACGCUGAGGCUCGAAAGCAUGGGUAGCGAACAGGAUUAGAUACCCUGGUAGUCCAUGCCGUAAACGAUGAUUACUAAGUGUUGGAGGGUUUCCGCCCUUCAGUGCUGCAGCUAACGCAUUAAGUAAUCCGCCUGGGGAGUACGACCGCAAGGUUGAAACUCAAAAGAAUUGACGGGGGCCCGCACAAGCGGUGGAGCAUGUGGUUUAAUUCGAAGCUACGCGAAGAACCUUACCAGGUCUUGACAUCUUCUGACAGUCUAAGAGAUUAGAGGUUCCCUUCGGGGACAGAAUGACAGGUGGUGCAUGGUUGUCGUCAGCUCGUGUCGUGAGAUGUUGGGUUAAGUCCCGCAACGAGCGCAACCCUUAUUACUAGUUGCCAGCAUUAAGUUGGGCACUCUAGUGAGACUGCCGGUGACAAACCGGAGGAAGGUGGGGACGACGUCAAAUCAUCAUGCCCCUUAUGACCUGGGCUACACACGUGCUACAAUGGAUGGUACAACGAGUCGCGAGACCGCGAGGUUAAGCUAAUCUCUUAAAACCAUUCUCAGUUCGGACUGUAGGCUGCAACUCGCCUACACGAAGUCGGAAUCGCUAGUAAUCGCGGAUCAGCAUGCCGCGGUGAAUACGUUCCCGGGCCUUGUACACACCGCCCGUCACACCAUGAGAGUUUGUAACACCCAAAGCCGGUGGGGUAACCUUUUAGGAGCUAGCCGUCUAANNUGGGACAGAUGAUUAGGGUGAAGUCGUACAGGG